CCUACGUGAGGCAGCAGUAGGGAAUCUUCCACAAUGGGCUAAAGCCUGAUGGAGCAACGCCGCGUGGGUGAAGAUGGUCUUCGGAUCGUAAAACCCUGUUGUUAGAGAAGAAAGUGCGAGAGAGUAACUGUUCACGUUUCGACGGUAUCUAACCAGAAAGCCACGGCUAACUACGUGCCAGCAGCCGCGGUAAUACGUAGGUGGCAAGCGUUAUCCGGAUUUAUUGGGCGUAAAGGGAACGCAGGCGGUCUUUUAAGUCUGAUGUGAAAGCCUUCGGCUUAACCGGAGUAGUGCAUGGGAAACUGGGAGACAUGAGUGCAGAAGAGGAGAGUGGAACUCCAUGUGUAGCGGUGAAAUGCGUAGAUAUAUGGAAGAACACCAGUGGCGAAGGCGGCUCUCUGGUCUGUAACUGACGCUGAGGUUCGAAAGCGUGGGUAGCAAACAGGAUUAGAUACCCGGGUAGUC
rnacentral:rRNA from 1 species